GGCAGGUAACCUAGUGAUUAAGCACAUUGGGCCAGUAAUCGAAAGGUUGCUGGUUCAAAUCCCGAGCCGGCUAGGUGAAAAAUCUGUUGAUCUGCCCUUGAGCAAGGCACUUAACCCUAAUUGCUCCUGUAAGUUGCUCUGGAUAAGAGCAUCUGCUAAAUGACUCAAAUGUAAAUGUAUUCUGUUACCUGACACUGAAGAUGCAUGUGGAGAUACUGAGAAAGUGUGUCUCUCUGGUGUCUCUGCUGUUCUCCUCACACUCUCCUCUCUACUGGGUAUCCUGACUGAGGACACUCUGUGUGCUGCAUCCACUAGUUCUGUUUCAGAGAAAGCUCUUCCUGAUAAAGCCCUUCCAGAAUGUCUUGCAGCAGUCACUAAUGCCGAAGCCCUGCCAACAGAAGCAGUCGGAGGCACCAGUAGCUCCUCCACAUUACUGAAGACUUCUCUUGAAGUUGAUUCAGCUGCUCUCUCAUCUACAGAGGCAGAGGAGAGCCUGGCCAGACUGGAUUUAGGUGAAAUUGUUAAUUCUUUCCCUCUCUCACUGCGAGGUGCAGAAGGAACCCUGGUCAGGCUGGAGAUGGAUGAUUUGUCUGUACCCUUCAGAGAUUCAUCAGAAUGAGCUGUGAGGAUAGAGGAUGCAAUGGCAAAGGUUUUAAACAUUACUAUGUAUCUUGUCAUAUAUUGUCCCUAAACAGUUUGUGCCAAACUGGCAAUACAUUUUUGAGUAUAGAUUAAUAUCAUACCUGACAGAAGAGAAUAUACUCUGGGAGAUGUGUGUCUCUCUGGUGUCUCUGGUGUUCUCCCUACACUCUCCUUUCUACAAGGUAUCCCGAAUGACGACACUAUCCAUGCUGCUCUGGCUCCCACUAUCUCCGAGGAGGAUACUUUCUCUCAGCUAAAGAGGUAUUACUCCAGGCAGACGGCAUGCAAGACAGGCUGUCCAUUGAGGGAACUUUGUGGAACACCACCACAUCAUCAGACAUCACCUCUGUUGGGUCAUUCACCCAAACCUUAUUCCCCUCACCAACCGAAAGAGUCCAGGUCAAACUACCCCUGGAAGAUACACCUGAGGAUAGACGUCUGUCGCUGUGGAAGACAAUGGUCUCCGGAGGAUUCUCAGAGUGGACAAUGACGGUGUUGUUGGUCGGGGCGCUGUCGGUGCUGAUCAGGACCGCAGAGUGGUUGGCCUCCAGUAGACUGUCCCCUGACGGAGAUCUCUGGAACACGGCUGACUGCACUGCAGAACCCGGCCCGGCCUGGGCCCCCUCCUCUUCCACAGCUGGGCUGGGUUGAUCUCCAAGCUGGGCUGGGCUGGACUGAGCUCCAUCUCCAGGGAGGGUUGGGCUGGAUUGACCUCCAACGUCAUCUCCAUUGUGGGUUCCUCCAGGGGGACUGCUCAGCGACUGAGCCUGCUCAUCUGGCCCACCCAUGGGCUCACUGGAGGGGACAUUGGACUCCUGGGUGGAUCUUGGGCUGAUCCUCUGGCUGACUGACAGUGUCUCCUCAGCCAGGAGGAGCAACAUCUGGUCGCAGUGCACAGGUGCAGGCUCUCCGGGUGGAUACUGUAGGCCUUGCUGCCUGUGCAUUAAGUCUAUGGAAGCUUUCCAGUCUUCGACAUAAUUUGCCUCUAUUGAAAAAAUAAAAAUGUAGGAAAUUGUGAGGCAUGUGUGCAAGACAUUCAACUGUAUUAAUUUUAAAGCAUUUAAAGUCCUUACCACGUAUCUCUUGGUACAGAUAUGUUAUAUCCUUGGUAUCCAUCAAAG
rnacentral:lncRNA from 1 species